UUUUCUCUCUCUGGUAGAUUCGAUCAGGCUCCAGGUGUCAAACAGGGCCUUGAGGUUGUGGCAGGUGGAGGUGAGACUCACCCUGACUUCUGUUCCCCAGGGAUACAUCUGAUUCUGCCUGGAGCAAGAUGCUGGCUAGAGUCGGAGGCUUUGUGCUAGGGCUCAUUGCCCUCUUGGUGAGCUUCAUUCUCCGUUUUAGAAGCCAGCGAGGUGACUCGAACUCACAACCCCGAGGCCAAGAGCUGCUCGCUCCAAUGUCAGAACCACCCUGGUUUCCUUGGAUUUAACAGUUUUUGAAUAGCUGAAGUACAAGCAAAGGAUGCAGAUGAAGGUUCCUGAUUUGGUUGACAACAUCCUGCUCAGUACAGCCUUUAUCACCACAGCCUGAGGGUGUGAUGACUGACCUCAGCCCCAGGAACCUGGUGGUGAGCAUUGAAGGACAAACAGCCAAUUUGCCUCAUCAGGAUGAUUCUUUCUGCACUUGAUGAUAAGGAAACCAGCAGGUCCCGAUCUGAUGGGUUAGAAACCCAUCACAGGGCCAUUGGAAUAGGUUUUCAGGCUCCAGGGACUCGGUGUAAGCUUCUUCCGUGUUGUACAUGAAGGAGCUGAGCCCAAGUGCUCGGUCAACAGCCUUCUGGCCGCAACCGCGCCCCAGCUCCGCUCACUUCCGACUCCUGACGGUAGGGGGUUGUCCUUUCCUUCUUUAUUCAACAACUGUAGGAAUUAAAACUGUAGGGUAUUUUUAAUCCUCGUGAGAAAUGCUCCCGUUUUUUGUUGUUGUUUGUUUGUUUGUUUGUUUUUUAGGAAGAAGCAUUGCAAGGAUCUGAAUUUUAAAUGUGCUUUAAAGCUCAAAAAUAUCAGGUGGGAUCCCGUCAUCACCUAGUGGCCCACAGUGGAAUCCACACUUGGAACAAGAUGUGAGGGAAUUUGUCAAUUUGGGAAAGCGCCAGCGUUUUUAACAAAAAAGUUAGAGAAAAAGGCAUACAAAAGCCAAAAUAAAUAUGGCCAAAUGUAGAGGCUUUGGCA
rnacentral:lncRNA from 1 species